rnacentral:rRNA from 1 species
CCUACGGGAGGCUGCAGUGGGGAAUAUUGCACAAUGGGCGCAAGCCUGAUGCAGCCAUGCCGCGUGUGUGAAGAAGGCCUUCGGGUUGUAAAGCACUUUCAGCGGGGAGGAAGGAGUUAAGGUUAAUAACCUUGGCGAUUGACGUUACCCGCAGAAGAAGCACCGGCUAACUCCGUGCCAGCAGCCGCGGUAAUACGGAGGGUGCAAGCGUUAAUCGGAAUUACUGGGCGUAAAGCGCACGCAGGCGGUCUGUCAAGUCGGAUGUGAAAUCCCCGGGCUCAACCUGGGAACUGCAUUCGAAACUGGCAGGCUAGAGUCUUGUAGAGGGGGGUAGAAUUCCAGGGGUAGCGGUGAAAUGCGUAGAGAUCUGGAGGGAUACCGGUGGCGAAGGCGGCCCCCUGGACAAAGACUGACGCUCAGGUGCGAAAGCGUGGGGAGCAAACAGGAUUAGAUACCCUUGUAGUC